GUGUUUUGUUUGGUGAUUUUUUUAGUGUUUAAAGGGUUAUGGAAAAAAAAAUGGGAUGUAUAUUUGGUAAAUAGGUUUGAUUUUUUUUAAUUUUAUUAUGUCUAGAUGUUAGGGUCUAAUUUAUUUUUCAAAAUAUUACGUGUAAAAAAAGUUACUAGUGAAGCUUUUCUAGUAGCAUAGUAUGGCAUGCAUAUCUUUUGGAUUGUAACGUGAAACUUUUGUU
rnacentral:lncRNA from 1 species